AUAAAAUCUUUUUAAAAAAAAAAAAGAAUUUUAAAAAGUGCACAUGUUCUAAGUGUCCAUUUAGAUGAACUUGAUAAAUUCAUGCGCCUCUGUAAUCACCAUCCUAAUCCAGAUAGAAUGUUCUGUAACCAAACCAAGUAGGAGAGUUUGUCCACCCUGUGGGCAGCAGGCAAGUAAAAGUGGCACAGAUCUUUCGCAGUGAAGAAAGAUGAGCUAUUUACUGGUAUGGCACCACCCAGGAGAAUGGGAAAGUAAUGCUCUAAAGUCCCAGUCUCCCCAGUGGCUUCUUAGUGAAAGGCUUUAAGGGCAAAAUUGGGGGCAGGACUGUCCUGAGAAAGUGGGUGUCCUUGACUGGAAGCUCAGGAGGUCGCAUGAAUAGGUGCCCUGGUGCCACUUUGUCUGGUUCCCUGGGAGGUCUUCUUCAUCUCAAGAGACUUGGAAUCUGAAAAGUAUAUUUGUUCUUUUCGGUAGAGGUUUCAUUAGGCACAUCCGGUAAUAAUAUCCUUAAAGUAGUACUGAUUAACUACUUGUAAGCUAGUGGGGUUGCAUUCCUGGAGGUUCCUUGGCCAGACCAGACCAGUCCAGCCGUGCCGUGCCGGGAGCUGAUAGACCUAUUUCCAUCGUCCCCAGGACGUUCCCUUCUGCCCCCUCCCCCGUCCCUCUCUCCCACUUCCAGCCGCAGGCAGUCAUUGAUCUGCUUUGUGUCUAUACAUAAAUUUUGCCUAUUCCAGAACUUCGUAUAAAUGUAAUUACAAAGCUUGUACUCUUUGUGUCUGGCUUUCUUCCUUCUAUGUUUUUGAAAUUCAUUGACAUUGUUUGCUUUUGUAGUGCCGAAUAUGUUCCAUGGGCAGGGGGAACCACGCUUUCUCUGUUCUCCAGUGAGGCAUUUGGGUUCUUUUCCAGCGUGAGACUCUCCUACAGAUGUACAAUUGCAGCAGCAGUAUCUCGAGGUCCCCUUGGCCUGCAACCUUACCGACGCAGUUCUCAAACUGUGAUACGCUUGUCUGAAGGUCCCUUUCUUUACACAGAUGGGCUCCAGAUGAAGAAAGAAAACUACAGCAAGAGGGCUUGAAAGACGAUUCUAGAAGCAAUUCCCAAAUUUGGAGCAGUGGGAAGAAGAGGGACAAGCUAGAAAGUACAGAGCCCAUGCAUCUGACAGAAGAGGAGGAGGACCCGAGGCAGGCAGAACCAAGCGAAGGUGGAGUUGCCCAUGGGUCCGGGACCACCAGAGAGGCGACAGCUCAGGUUCAGCGGUGCCCCCUCAGCCACGUCCAGCCCCGGCUCGGCCACCACACGCACCCCUGCAGGCCAAGGACCAGGAGG